UGUUGAAAUUUAUGAGUGUACUUUUAAAGU
rnacentral:piRNA from 1 species